CAGGCAGCAGAUCAAAGGACGUGCGUGGCACUGGUCAGGUAAUGGUGGAUAAGGAGAUCAGGGGGUAACAUCUCAUGUUUGACACGAAAGAUCCUGAACCUCCCUCGUGUAAUCUCGGACGUCAGAGGUGGGGACGUUCAGCUCGACGACGCUAAGCCUGCUUCGGGAACAGCGCCUACAACCGGCAGGACCUCCGAGCGCCAAGCUGUCCGACCUUAUGCCUGUGCACAAUGUCUGUAUUAUUGACGUGUGACGCGGAACAACCUCUUACAUUGUUCAAAUAUUACAUAAAUAAUUUUAGAUUAAGUAUCCCAGCUCAUUAUUGACAUACACAUUUAUUUUUUUAUGUGCGCAUUAAGCACUACGACAAAAACAUUCAAACAGGCAUAUUGACGAACAUGGGGAGCUGCGGGCUCUCUUUGUUUUGGCUCCUGGUUCGCUUCACAUUUAGUUUUUCUACACUUCCACAGAAGGGAGAAGAAUGGAUCAUAAUACUGUCAAUGUAAUAGUUAACUUUAUUUAUACAGCAGCUUUCAAAACGUAGUUAUGGAGUAAUUUGCAUGAAAGAAUCAAGAACAGAGGCAAGCAAUAGGAAACAAAGGCAGGUUAAAGAUCAUACAAAUAUAGGCCACAUUAAGACAGAAAUGUUACAUGAUGAGAAAAGAGUAACAUGAAAUGAAACAAACUUAAAUGAUUAAAAUCAAUAAGAUAAAAUAUUUGUUUGGCAAAAGGUAAACGAAUGUCCUCAGGGAAAGAGUUCAAUCAGGUGACCUCAGGUUAGAACACAUAUGGUGUCAGAAGAUUUUAAAUGUUCCCCAAGAACAAGUCCAGAACGGGAUUUAAAAGUCAUCAAUAAAAUCUUAAAAUCAAUUCUAAAAUUGACCAGAACCCAUUGAUGGUUAUUAGUGCUUCUCAGUCAAAACGCUACUGCUGAAAAUGGAUCUCUAACUCCUGUCUUUUCCCCUUGCUAUGAAGCUACCACUAUUUAAUUUGUUCUUAAACAUCAAUACUGCUUUCCAGGAAGCUGGGGGUGCAUGUAGUAAUGUGACACCUGGAGUAGAAGAUCCCCAAAGAGCACCUAAUUAUUUUUUUCGUUCUAGCUUCUGAGGUAUGAAUAUUUCCUGUUUCUCUCAAUCACCUGUGAUAGUGAACUAAAUAUAUUUGGGUUUCGAAACCGUAUGGACAAAACAUGUCAUCUAAAGAUGUCACCUUGGGUUCUGGAAAGUAUUUUUUGUCUGAAAUUUUGUACUACAUCUGGGGUGCACACAAUAGAGCAGUGAGAAGCUCUUUACACAUUUCAGAAUUCAGGAGAUGAAAACAAUCUUCUUUUGUGUUUGCACAAAUUACCUGAAUAACUUUGGGUUUUUGGACUGUUCGUCAGACAAAACAGGACAUUUCUUUUCUUCCCAUUAUUUGUCAUUUGUACUUGUUUUGUGUCUCUUUCAGUCUGGGGCCUUCUGCAUGUCUUUCCCCAUCUGCUCAUUGUUUUAUGUUAUGCUUAUUCAGUUGCCUGGAUGAUUUAAUAUAUUUCCGUCAUUGGUUGCUUCUAUAAUUAUAAUAAUAAAGUACAAUUUAUAACAAACAAA